rnacentral:rRNA from 1 species
UACAGAGGUCUCAAGCGUUGUUCGGAUUCAUUGGGCGUAAAGGGUGUGUAGGUGGCGCGCUAAGUCGGGUGUGAAAUUUCGGAGCUUAACUCCGAAACUGCAUUCGAUACUGGCGUGCUUGAGGACUGGAGAGGAGACUGGAAUUCAUGGUGUAGCAGUGAAAUGCGUAGAGAUCAUGAGGAAGACCAGUGGCGAAGGUGGGUCUCUGGACAGUUCCUGACACUGAGACACGAAGGCCAGGGGAGCAAACGGG